UGAAUAUCUUAAAGGGAAAGUGUUAGAUGUAUAUCCUAAAUAUAAGAAAGAAGCUAAGGAUCAUCUAUCAAAAGUUGUUAAGUUGAAUCCAUUAGAAGAAACACUCCUUCCCCUUUUCAACGAAAUAACUGAGUCAUAUUAGAUCCUAAUAUCUUCGGAAGGUCUUCAGAACAAGAAAGAAUGACCAUAGAGUUCUGGCGGGAAGGUGAUAUACUUUAUAAGCUUCAUCAUCCAAAUGUGGUGGAAUUUUAUGGGGUAGUUCAAGAUGGACUAAGAGGAACAAUGGCAACUGUCACGAAGUUCACAAUGGAUGGUUCUCUUCGACGUGUUUUUCUACAAAAGGAUAGAGAUUCACGGUGGCUAAAAUAGGGUGUUGAGAUCAUCAAAGAUUUCUUGAAAUAGCAUACUGUUCCAGACUGUAACUUUAGCACCAAUGGAAACAAGUUAUUUUCCGGUGAACGGCUCGAAUGAGUUAAGAGACAACGAGUUCAUUCCAUUAGCUUCCAAAUAAUGAUUGUAACAAAACUCACAGUCUCUAUCUCUCACUCCCUCUGCAUCAGGUGGACAUUAUAGGAGUUGCCUGCUAUUCUUCUAAGGAUUUAUGGACUUGGAAAAAGGAAGGCAUUGUAUAGCAGGGAAAACAAAUAAAACCCAUGAUCUACACAAGUCCAAUGUGCUUGAAAGACCAAAAGUUAUUUACAAUGAAAAAUAAGAAAGUAUGUGAUGUGGAUGCAUAUCUGCAGUGCCA